CUACUACUCCCUCCGUCCAACAAAAGAUGUCUCAACUUUGAUUAAACAAAAGAUGUCUCAAUUUUGAUUAAAUUUGAAUGCAUCUAUACACUAAGUCACAUUUAUAUACAUCCAAAUUUUGACAAACAUAAGACAUCUUUUGUUGGACGGAGGGAGUAGAAG
rfam:Brachypodium distachyon strain Bd21 chromosome 2, whole genome shotgun sequence.